GGUAUAAUAGCUCAGUGGUAGAGUCUGUGCUUAGCAUGCAUGAGGCCCUUGGUUCGACCCCCAGUACAACUA
rnacentral:tRNA from 1 species